AACGCGAAGAACCUUACCUGGGUUUGACAUAUAGAGAAAUCCUCCAGAGAUGGGGGGUCCGUAAGGGCUCUAUACAGGUGGUGCAUGGCUGUCGUCAGCUCGUGUCAUGAGAUGUUGGGUUAAGUCCCGCAACGAGCGCAACCCUCGUCUUAUGUUGCCAGCACGUCAUGGUGGGGACUCAUAAGAGACUGCCGGGGUCAACUCGGAGGAAGGUGGGGAUGACGUCAAGUCAUCAUGCCCCUUAUGUCCAGGGCUUCACGCAUGCUACAAUGGCCGGUACAAAGGGCUGCGAAACUGUAAGGUGGAGCGAAUCCCAAAAAGCCGGUCUCAGUUCGGAUUGGGGUCUGCAACUCGACCUCAUGAAGUCGGAGUCGCUAGUAAUCGCAGAUCAGCAACGCUGCGGUGAAUACGUUCCUGGGUCUUGUACACACCG
rnacentral:rRNA from 1 species